AUGUUGCUGUCUGCUUGGUCGCUGCUCGUCAUCGCCGUGGCAGGCGCCAGCGGUGACGAGUUGGAGGCAGUCACGAGCGAAGUGUUGGCCUCAGAAGGCGAACAGGUCACACUGUCGUACGAUUACGCCAAUAAAGCUGCAGGUUCUGAUUAUUUCUUCUGGUUCCGACAACUUCCUGGACAACCGCCCAACUUCCUGCUCUCUCACUUGGGAAGCGGCAGCCAGUUAAACGCCAAGUCAGGAAUGUCGGCGAGCGUCGCAAGUGACGGGAGGCGAGUGCACCUGCACAUCGAGGAUGCGACACUUGAGCACUCUGCAGUGUACUACUGUGCAGUGAGGCCCACAGUGACACAAGCGCCACGUUCUCCGUACCAGAACCCAAACGCAUCACAUCCCACUGCGCUGUCGUAG